UACGUAGGUGACAAGCGUUGUCCGGAUUUACUGGGCGUAAAGAGCGCGCAGGCGGUCGUUCAAGUCGAGUGUGAAAGCCCCCGGCUCAACUGGGGAGGGUCACUCGAUACUGAUCGACUCGAAGGCAGGAGAGGGUAGUGGAAUUCCCGGUGUAGUGGUGAAAUGCGUAGAUAGUCGGGAGGAACACCAGUGGCGAAGGGCGGCUUCCUCGGACCGACGACUGGACGCUGAGGCGGCGAAAGCUGAGGGGAGCAAACGGGG
rnacentral:rRNA from 1 species